rnacentral:rRNA from 1 species
UACGAAGGGGGCUAGCGUUGCUCGGAAUUACUGGGGGUAAAGCGCACGUAGGCGGCUUCUUAAGUCGGUGGUGAAAUCCUGGAGCUCAACUCCAGAACUGCCUUCGAUACUGGGAAGCUCGAGUCCGGGAGAGGUGAGUGGAACUGCGAGUGUAGAGGUGAAAUUCGUAGAUAUUCGCAAGAACACCAGUGGCGAAGGCGGCUCACUGGCCCGGUACUGACGCUGAGGUGCGAAAGCGUGGGGAGCAAACAGG